rnacentral:rRNA from 1 species
AAAUUGAAGAGUUUGAUCAUGGCUCAGAUUGAACGCUGGCGGCAGGCCUAACACAUGCAAGUCGAACGGUAACAGAAAGCAGCUUGCUGCUUUGCUGACGAGUGGCGGACGGGUGAGUAAUGUCUGGGAAACUGCCCGAUGGAGGGGGAUAACUACUGGAAACGGUAGCUAAUACCGCAUAA